UUAGAGUUUGAUCCUGGCUCAGGAUGAACGCUGGCGGCGUGCUUAACACAUGCAAGUCGAACGGACUCAUAUUGAAACCUAGUGAUUUAUGAGUUAGUGGCGGACGGGUGAGUAACGCGUGGAAAACCUGCCGUAUACCGGGGGAUAACACUUAGAAAUAGGUGCUAAUACCGCAUAAGCGCACAGCUUCGCAUGAAGCAGUGUGAAAAACUCCGGUGGUAUAUGAUGGUUCCGCGUCUGAUUAGCUAGUUGGCGGGGUAACGGCCCACCAAGGCAGCGAUCAGUAGCCGGCCUGAGAGGGUGAACGGCCACAUUGGGACUGAGACACGGCCCAAACUCCUACGGGAGGCAGCAGUGGGGAAUAUUGUCAAUGGACGCAAGUCUGAACCAGCCAUGCCGCGUGCAGGAAGACGGCUCUAUGAGUUGUAAACUGCUUUUGUACGAGGGUAAACGCAGAUACGUGUAUCUGUCUGAAAGUAUCGUACGAAUAAGGAUCGGCUAACUCCGUGCCAGCAGCCGCGGUAAUACGGAGGAUUCAAGCGUUAUCCGGAUUUAUUGGGCUUAAAGGGUGCGUAGGCGGUUGGAUAAGUUAGAGGUGAAAUCCCGGGGCUCAACUCCGGAAUUGCCUCUGAUACUGUUCGGCUAGAGAUCAGUUGCGGUAGGCGGAAUGUAUGGUGUAGCGGUGAAAUGCUUAGAGAUCAUACAGAACACCGAUUGCGAAGGCAGCUUACCAAGCUGAAUCUGACGUUGAGGCACGAAAGCGUGGGUAGCAAACAGGAUUAGAUACCCUGGUAGUCCACGCAGUGAACGAUGAUAACUCGUUGUCGGCGAUACAGUGUCGGUGACUAAGCGAAAGCGAUAAGUUAUCCACCUGGGGAGUACGUUCGCAAGAAUGAAACUCAAAGGAAUUGACGGGGGCCCGCACAAGCGGAGGAACAUGUGGUUUAAUUCGAUGAUACGCGAGGAACCUUACCCGGGCUUGAAAGUUAGUGACGGAUCUUGAAAGAGGUCUUCCCUUCGGGGCACGAAACUAGGUGCUGCAUGGUUGUCGUCAGCUCGUGCCGUGAGGUGUCGGGUUAAGUCCCAUAACGAGCGCAACCCCUACCGUUAGUUGCCAUCAGGUCAAGCUGGGCACUCUGGCGGGACUGCCGGAGUAAGCCGAGAGGAAGGUGGGGAUGACGUCAAAUCAGCACGGCCCUUACGUCCGGGGCUACACACGUGUUACAAUGGCAGGUACAGAGGGCAGCUACCCCGCGAGGGGAUGCGAAUCUCGAAAGCCUGUCUCAGUUCGGAUUGGAGGCUGAAACCCGCCUCCAUGAAGUUGGAUUCGCUAGUAAUCGCGAAUCAGAAUGUCGCGGUGAAUACGUUCCCGGGCCUUGUACUCAAAGGCCGUCAAG
rnacentral:rRNA from 1 species